CCUACGGGAGGCAGCAGUGAGGGAUUUUGCGCAAUGGGCGAAAGCCUGACGCAGCGACGCCGCGUGGAGGAUGAAGGCCUUCGGGUUGUAAACUCCUGUUAGAGGGGAAGAAGCCCCGCAAGGGGUUGACGGUACCCCCAGAGGAAGCCCCGGCUAACUACGUGCCAGCAGCCGCGGUAAUACGUAGGGGGCGAGCGUUACUCGGAAUUACUGGGCGUAAAGGGUGUGUAGGCGGCCGAGCAAGUCGAAGAUGAAAUCCCAGGGCUCAACCCUGGAAUUGUCUUCGAUACGGCUUGGCUUGAGGGUAGUGGAGGAGAGCGAAAUUCCCGGUGGAGGGGUGAAAUGCGUAGAUAUCGGGAGGAACACCAGUGGCGAAGGCGGCAUCCAGGC
rnacentral:rRNA from 1 species